AUUAUUUUCAUAAGAACAUAUCAAGCAUAUCAUGUAUAAUUGAAAAAUAUGAAAGAUAUGCAAUAGCUCAUUUUCUAUUUUUCAGAAGAUCAAAAAGAGUUUUCAUCAAAAAUAGAUCUAAUAGAGACCAUAUGUAUGACAAGUAGUGAUGAUAGCUUUUAACAAAAAUCAUUUAAGUAGAUGACUAUCAUACAACAUUGUCUUUUUCAUUUCUUCAAGGAUUCUAUUAACCCUAUUGUACUUAUGGUGUUCUUGGUGC
rnacentral:lncRNA from 1 species